GAGAAAGAGAAUUGUCUGAAUAGCCGAGGAGACUGCCUAACUAUUAACCAAUUUAUCAAAGACUAUCGAUCUUUUAGUCUUUGAUAGAGAUGGUUUAAGACGCAGGCAAGUCAUCCUUGGCUACCACACAACUUCUCAUUCU
rfam:Brassica napus, WGS project CCCW01000000 data, contig: 11899